UCCGGUAUAGUGUAACGGCUAACAUAUCGCGUUUUCACCCUGCAAAGGGAAAAACCGCGGGGCUCGGGGUUCGAUUCCCCGUACCGGAG